rnacentral:rRNA from 1 species
UAACACGUAGGGACCAAGCGUUGUCCGGAUUUAUUGGGCGUAAAGAGCUCGUAGGCGGUUUGGUAAGUCGGGUGUGAAAACUCAGGGCUUAACCCUGAGACGCCACCCGAUACUGCCAUGACUUGAGUCCGGUAGGGGAGUGGGGAAUUCCUGGUGUAGCGGUGAAAUGCGCAGAUAUCAGGAGGAACACCGGUGGCGAAGGCGCCACUCUGGGCCGGUACUGACGCUGAGGAGCGAAAGCGUGGGUAGCAAACAGG